AACCUUAAUCUCUAAAUCACCCAUCGUACUCAGCAGCAACAACAACUUAUCUUUGCUCUCUUCUCUGCCCAAAUCCCUUCUCCCUUCUCCCUCACUCUCAUCAGUCUCACUCACCAAAAUGGCACAAAAUCCCUAACCCACUACGGCGCUACUUCCUUCUCUCUCUCAGCCAGCAGCCCCUGUCUCUCUCAACCAACAGCAGUCACCGCCUCCGCCGUUGUCGAACUCUUCUCGUCAGCCAGAGGGUGCCUCGCCGCCAGUAGUGACAGAUAGAGGGUGCUUCGAGCUCUUGGCCGUCCAUCCUCAUCUCCUCCACGUCGUCGCCUUUGGCCGUCCAUCCCCAUCUUCUCUACAUCGUUUUCAUCUUCGUCGUGUGGUCUUGCAGAUCGAAGCACGGUCGGCUGGAUUUCUCCAUUGUUGAUUUGAAGUGAUAUGUUGAGAAGGAACCGAACGAGUCUUCACUCUCUCUCCCUCUCCACCGCUGCGGUUUCCUAGGAGCUCUCAUCCAAACAGCAAAGAAGCACCAACCUCCUCCGUUCAAGGCAUACUCAUGGCGCCAUCGCAAGUUCCUCUACUGUCCACGCAACGUCGUCCAAAACGUCGUUGUCGGCCAUCUUGCGGCUCUUCUUAUCCUCCUCCUAUUUGGUUUUGAAUGAUUUUUUUAACUAGUUUUUUAUGUUUCUUUUUUCUACAUUUCGGAUGAUUCUUUUUACAACAAUGCUAGGGAACCAACUCUAUAUAAGCCAAGAAUCAGCCAACUGGUAAACCAGAGGCACCGGUGACUUUAACCGGAUGUUGCUACUGAUAGGCACACGGAUGUUUCUUUUUCUUGUAAAUUGGAUGGUUUUGGAUAUGAUUUCUAUA